GCACCCUUGGUGUAUGGAAACACACAUCUUACAGUUGGUAUUUUCUUAUUCGUCAAUCAAGAUGAGUCCGGGGUUCGAAUCCCCGAGGGUGCA